rnacentral:rRNA from 1 species
UACGUAGGGGGCUAGCGUUGUCCGGAAUCAUUGGGCGUAAAGAGCGUGUAGGCGGUCCGGUAAGUCCGCUGUGAAAGUCGGGGGCUCAACCCUCGAAAUGCCGGUGGAUACUGUCGGGCUAGAGUGCGGAAGAGGCGAGUGGAAUUCCGUGGUGUAGCGGUGAAAUGCGCAGAUAUCAGGAGGAACACCUAUUGCGAAGGCAGCUCGCUGGGACGUAACUGACGCUGAGACGCGAAAGCGUGGGGAGCAAACAGG